GAUUGGACCGUCUGACUGGUCCAACCGUCACACAAAAGUAAGGACGGUCUCGUACCACUCCUCAACUCGAUAACUCUUCCAGAUCGUUUUGGACAGUUGUAAAUCUGGUUUAACCGGGUUAGACCGAGAGAAAUUGAAAUAACCCGGUUGGUUAAACCAGUCGAUCUAAUUUCAGUUAUAUAAAUCCUAAAUUAUUAAAUAGACAACAUGUUCACAACUCACAAAAACUCACUCACCACUCACAAAGAAAAACUUGCAGAACCAUGCUUCCACUGGCCUUAUUCGCUAUUGUCGCUCUCAUCGAUGUUCCUCUUGGGUAAGUCUUCUACGGUCUCCAUUCUGGGAUUGGAAGUAUGGAACAAUGGAACAUUCAAGGAGAAAGAGUGAAUGAGGGAAAUAUGAAAUAUAUAUUAGAGAUUGAAGGAAGGAAAUGAUGGUCAAUGGGUUUUGUGGGAGUAAAAUGGAGAUGAGGGAGAGUGAAAAGAGAUGAGGAAAGUGAAAUAGUCUACACUUUCAAGGUUUCGGGAUUUCUCUCUCUCACCAACUCCACUCAUACUUUCAUAUGCAUAUUUUUUCGGAAAAAUUACUGGGAUAGUGUAGUUUGUUUGACUACACUAUCCCAGCUUUG
rnacentral:lncRNA from 1 species